CUCAGCCUGUAGAACUUCCGGCAGCAACUGCAAUUAGGGGUAGUCCAGUGCUAAAUUGUCGCAGCCUUGAAAAUAUUCUGCUUCGUUAUUUCGGGCACUCCACAGAUUCUGUUGCGAAGGCAGCCAUCUUUAGUUCGUCUUUCCUAGAGAGCGUUGAGAAGAUUCUGCUCCAUUUUUUCUGAUUAUGGAUUCUGUUCAGAAGGAAGCCGAAUUUUAAGUCAUCGUUCUAGGAUAGGUUGGGGACGUUCUCCUGGAUAAUAUACUGAAGAGUGUUUUCCAACUUGGCUCCAUUCUCCCCGUCACUUUCAGAUACACCAAUCAAAGGUCUGCUGGAGUUUGC
rnacentral:lncRNA from 1 species